rnacentral:lncRNA from 1 species
GUAUUUUAGUAUGUAUGCAUGCAUGUCAGUGUGUGUGUAUGUAUGUAUGUUUGUAUGAAUCUGUAAGUCAGUAUGUAUGGAUGUCUGUCAGUAUGUCCUUAUGUGUGUUUGUGUCUGUAUGUAUGUUAGUAUGUGUAUGUGUGUCUUUAUGUGUCUGUUUCAGUAUGUAUAGGAAUUUGUUUUAAAAAAAAAAAAAAUAUAAGGAGUCUCACUAUAGUCCGGCCCCCAGCAAUGUCUGAGGGACCGUGAACUGGCCCCCUGUUUAAAAAGUUUGAGGACCCCUGGGUUAGGGCUUCCAUCCAGUUUCAUUAGACACACAUGCACUAAUCAUACUCAAAAACUUAACUAUAAAGAAGUCCAUUCAAAUUAUUUUCAGAGCAGAAUUUAUUAAGAUAAUUUAAACGGCAACUGCGUUUUUUCCCCAAUAAUUACAAAGUUUAAAAGUUGACUGUACAGAACCAGUUUUUUACAUUGAAGUUUACAGUUUAUGCAACUGCCUGUGAGGAACCUGAGGUUAGUGUAGAAGGUUGAGACAGCUGCAGACCAUACAUUAUAAUCCCUGUCUGUUGCUGCUGUCAGAGGCAAGUAACGUAACGCAUAGCUUUGCGGGCCCGAUGGAAGCAGAUCUGUUAAACAGUUAUAUGCACAGCUUUCCUGGCAUUGGUAAUCCAUAACAUUAAAAUCCCUUUACAUCCGAUUUGAGAAGUUAUUUGUGUACUUUAAAGUUCAGAGAUGCCUUCUGUCAAGGCAGGUCAAACAAACAAUACUGUAAUCAUUUUGGUAAACAUUUUGUCCUGUUCAGGUGACAGCUGAUUUGGGUACAAAGAAUCAGCCCAGAAAAAGAUAACUUUACAAAUAAUAAACACAUGAUAAGAAUCAAUUAAAACAACAUGUAACAGUCAAGGUAAAAAAUAUAAAAAUUAAAUAGUAAUUAAAUUUUCUCCUUACAUCAUUAUACUGGUGGGGAUAAGAGAUUAUGAAUGGAACAACAUUAAGUAAAUAUGGCUGUAAUAAGAGGAAGAUAUUUGACACAUUUUUCAGUCAAAAGUGGCCUAUAGGUUUAUAGAAAAGAGAUAUAAGGCAAUGUAUACAAGGACAUGCUAAGAUAUUCAUGUAUAUAAAUAUAAUAUGAUAAAUAUUUUGCCAACAAUAUAUAUAUGAAGGGGUACAUCUAGGGAAAAUACAUUCAUGCACCCAUAGGGCGUGCAGAAAAAGGUAGUACAUUACUAUCAAAGGGCACAACAGAACUAUGCGCUUCAAAUGACAGAACAAUUUAAGCAUAAUGCAAGAGUUUAAAUUAUUUAAUCUUCUACUAAGCACACGACAAAUGAAUGGAAGUACACAGCAGAAGCGAACUGGCAGAUUCUAAUUCAACUUGAGACAUCUGAGUGAUAAGGAAUCAUAAUUAUUUCAAUGUAUUCCUGAAAGAGGGUUAUAUUUUCAGUCUCUGUCCAGGUGCAUUUUACAUGCACACUUAAAGGACCACUCUAGGCACCCAGACCACUUCAGCUUAAUGAAGUGGUCUGGGUGCCAGGUCCAGCUAGGGUUAACCCAUUUUUUCAUAAACAUAGCAGUUUCAGAGAAAUUGCGCAUUCAGCCGCAUGGGAGGAGAAGAGGAGGAUCGGAGGAGAGCUCCCCGCCCAGCGCUGGAAAAAGGUAAGUUUUUUCCCCUUUCCAGAGCCGGGCGGGAGGGGGACCGUGAGGGUGGGGGCACCCUCAGGUCACUAUAGUGCCAGGAAAACGAGUAUGUUUUCCUGGCACUAUAGUGGUCCUUUAAGGAAAUAAAAAAAAGGGCACAGACUUUACUGCACUAUUCAAUAAUAAACACACUACUGCUCUCUGCAAUUGGGACUGAUGUAUAGACAUAUCUGCCAGAUUUUGGGGAAAUUUGGAAAAAUAGCCAAUUUUACAUUGUUCCUCAUUCUUUCCUUGUUUUCCAGCAUCCAAGCAUUUAUUGGCUCUGAAAUCUAUUUUUGGUUAUACAAUUGAAAAAAAAAUUAUGACAAUAUAGUUUAAAAUAAGAGACACUUUGAAAAUUAAAGAGUUAAAAUAAUUUCCGAAGGUAAGGAAUGGACUACUUUAUUUUAUGAACCUUCUUAUCUGGGCUCAGUCAAAAUGUUAAAGUGACACGAUUACUCACCACCCCUCAAAAAUAAGUAUUUCAUAAGCAUAGAAUUUUUAAGAAAUAUUAAUUUUGACUGUUGGAAUUUCAUUGAAAUUACAACCCAGUCAAGAGAUUUACAGACUUCUUUGAGAUAGAUUUGGGCAGAGCUACAGAGUCAAUCCCGACAGCAGCCAGGGAAUUAGCUCAGUCUAUGAAGGAUUCUGCGGUCUUGCUGGAUCCUCCAUAGAUUUUACUCUUGAGCAUAUACGAGAGUACAGCAGUGACAUUGUAGCUGAAGAGAACACAUCAGAACAAGAUUAUGACCCACUCGAGGGACAGGUUCACGUAAGUAAAUCUCACCUCCACCUGUCUUCCAGCUGUGAUGUCACCAUGGGGUGUCUUUGCAAAUUCAUCAAAGUCCCCCAAAAAUGACAGUACGGUUUAAUUAGCUGUAGCAAAAUGCUACCUAGUAUGCAUACAUUCCCAUAGGAAUAUUUACUGCCCUUUAAAGUAGUAUCACAAAUUGCUUCACAAUAAAAGAUAACACAUGUAGCUGUGAAGGCAAGUAGGGACUUAGAAUACAUAUUAUAUAUUAUGCAAAACAUAGUGUGCCUACUCAUGAUUUAGAUUCAGGAAACUCCCAAGAUGUAAUAAAACAAAACAAAAAAUAAAACAAACUUGCCUUUUUCCAGUGUCGAGACUCACUCCAUGUAAGCCACCAGCUUAUUGUCCAAUUCAAAUGCUUCUCAUACGGAAGUAAUGAAUCCAAACCUUCCCAAUGAUAAGCUUCAGAGGACAUUCAAAGUCCUCAAGAAUGCAUGAGGACAUUGCAUGUCACAAAGUCUGACUGUUAUAGCAGUGGAAGCACCAUUUAGUAGCUGUCAGAAAACAACCUCCAGAGCUUCGUUUAGCCCUGAAAAGGUAAACAUCUAAAAAUGAUCUAGGUGCCUAAAAAGGCUGCGCAUAAACACUAUGCAGUUCACAUGAAUACAAGGUGGACAACAUUACAUAACAUUCAGAACUGUGUCAAGUUCUAUACCUUCUUAAAUGCAUAACUGAUGUGCGGUGGUAUCAAAAGCCAGUUAUCACUUAUGGGUGAUGGCUCAUAGGAAACAUUCAAGGCAAGGUAGUCAAAUAUUUAAUGCAUAAAACCAAGUAGUCUCAACAUGAUUUCAUGUAAUUAUUUUGAUUGGGAUUUAAAUCCAUUUAGGUGUGAUGUAUAGGCAGGAUUUUGUAAAUACUCAAAGAGGUCCCAUCAAAGCACCACAGCAAUUUUGCAUCAUUGCACAUGUUGUGGUAAAGAAAGUACUCUGCAUUUUCAAUUAUGAGAGUGGCUUAUAACAGAGGGUUUAUUGGAGAAGAUCAGACCCCGACUGGUGGAGGCUCUUCAUUUUGACAAUAGUGUUCCUUUACCAAUUCCAGUACAGCAAAGAUAUGGUUUUGAACUCUAAAGUAAUACUUUUCCCCCCAAAAAAAAUCUUUUAAAAAACCAUUUUGGAUAUUAAGAGGGAAAAAUUGAGCACUGUUCUGGGCUUUGAAGAGCUAGACACUCCUCAGUGUGGAAUGUGUGAAAAGAGUUAAGGGACACUCCAGACCUCUAAAGCACUUUAGCUUGCUGAAAUGCUUUAUGUGUGAAGUGUCUCCUCUUAUAUUUUUUUACGAAGAGGUGCAGAUUUCAAUAAACACUGGCAAUUUUUUAAAUUAACCUAGUUGCACCUUCUCUGGCUUUCAAGUAGACAACUGCUCCUGUUACGUCAUGGUUUGGUUAGCUCAGUGGAGCCACGUUCAAGAGGCAGGCAAUUGACCAGAGCACUUGCCUUGCAAAAAAAAUAAAAUAAAAAGCAGCCGCUUUUAAAUUGUCCAGUCUCAGAAAUUCAGGGCUGGGAAAGAUAAAAUGAGAACUUGCAAAGGUAGCAGUGAAAAGAAAUGCAGCUUUGUAAACUGUUUUAGGUAUAAGCCUAACGAACAAAGUAAAUGCAUGGAUGCUUUCAUUUAGGGAUAUAUCUACUAAACAGUUUUGUUUUGUGUAUAUGGGCAGUAGAGAGCCCUUUUAAACAUUAACUUAUCUGCAAGGAGUAUGGGAUAUGUAUCAAGAUAACACAGUAAACAAGGUUUAGACAAAGGCUAGCCAACGUUCCCUGGUCUGCGCACAAAAACAAAAUUAUAUUUAAUGGAG